rnacentral:lncRNA from 1 species
AAGAACAAAACUGCACAUUGCAUCAAAAUCACCAAAGCAAAGCACUAGCUCACAAGUAGCAUAAGGCAGUAUACAUGGUAUAUAGGAGAAGCUCAUCUAGUACAAUAUGAUACAGAUGCAAAGAAACUAAACUAAAAUGAUAUAGAUAUAAUAAAGAGAAGCUCCAAAACUCAACUCAGAAAGGAAAGCACACACCCAACUCCCCCC